ACAGGUGGUGCAUGGUUGUCGUCAGCUCGUGUCGUGAGAUGUGGUUAAGUCCCGCAACGAGCGCAACCCUACUUGCUAGUUACCAUCAUUAAGUUGGGGACUCUAGCGAGACUGCCAGUGAGUAAACUGGAGGAAGGUGGGGAUGACGUCAAAUCAUCAUGCCCCUUAUGACCUGGGCUACAAACGUGAUACAAUGGCUGGAACAAAGGGAUGCGAAGCAGUGAUGUGGAGCGAAACCCAUAAAAACAGUCUCAGUUCGGAUUGAAGUCUGCAACUCGACUUCAUGAAGUCGGAAUCGCUAGUAAUCGCGGAUCAGAACGCCGCGGUGAAUACGUUCUCGGGGUUU
rnacentral:rRNA from 1 species